AAUGAACGCUGGCGGCGUGUCUUAAGCAUGCAAGUCGUGCGGCAAGGGUAGCAAUACCCCUAGAGCGGCGGACUGGUGAGUAACGCGUGGGUGAUCUGCCUCUGGGAUGGGGAUAGCCACUAGAAAUAGUGGGUAAUACCGAAUACGUUCGUCGGGCUGUGGCCUGACGAGGAAAGGCGCUUCGGCGCCACCCGGAGAUGAGCCCGCGUCCCAUUAGCUAGUUGGUGAGGUAACGGCCCACCAAGGCGAUGAUGGGUAGGCGGCCUGAGAGGGUGUACGCCCACACUGGGACUGAGAUACGGCCCAGACUCCUACGGGAGGCAGCAGCUAAGAAUAUUCCGCAAUGGACGAAAGUCUGACGGAGCGACGCCGCGUGGAUGAAGAAGGCCGAAAGGUUGUAAAAUCCUUUUGUUGGGAAGAAUAAGCGUGGGAGGGAAUGCCCGCGUGAUGACAUGAACCGACGAAUAAGUCCCGGCUAACUACGUGCCAGCAGCCGCGGUAAAU
rnacentral:rRNA from 1 species